rnacentral:rRNA from 1 species
AGUGAACGCUGGCGGUAGGCCUGACACAUGCAAGUCGAACGGCAGCACAGGAGAGCUUGCUCUCUGGGUGGCGAGUGGCGGACGGGUGAGGGAUACAUCGGAAUCUACUCUGUCGUGGGGGAUAACGUAGGGAAACUUACGCUAAUACCGCAUACGACCUACGGGUGAAAGCAGGGGACCUUCGGGCCUUGCGCGAUUGAAUGAGCCGAUGUCGGAUUAGCUAGUUGGCGGGGUAAAGGCCCACCAAGGCGACGAUCCGUAGCUGGUCUGAGAGGAUGAUCAGCCACACUGGAACUGAGACACGGCCCAGACUCCGACGGGAGGCAGCAGUGGGGAAUAUUGGACAAUGGGCGCAAGCCUGAUCCAGCCAUACCGCGUGGGUGAAGAAGGCCUUCGGGUUGUAAAGCCCUUUUGUUGGGAAAGAAAUCCAGCUGGCUAAUACCCGGUUGGGAUGACGGUACCCAAAGAAUAAGCACCGGCUAACUUCGUGCCAACCGCCGCCGUAA